CAAUAGCGUAUAUUAAAGUUGUUGCAGUUAAAAAGCUCGUAGUUGGAUUUCUGAUUGAGACAUCAGGUCGGGUCCGAGAGGAUCAUGUACUUUGAUUUGUUUUGAUCAUCCUUGGGGAGAGCAGUUCUGGCAUUAAGUUGUCGGGGUUGGGAUCCUCAUCGUUUACUGUGAAAAAAUUAGAGUGUUCAAAGCAGGCCUCGGCCUCUGAAUACAUUAGCAUGGAAUAAUAAGAUAGGACUUUGGUGGUCUAUUUUGUUGGUUUGCACGCCAAAGUAAUGAUUAAUAGGGAUAGUCGGGGGUAUUCGUAUUCAAUUGUCAGAGGUGGAAUUCUUGGAUUUAUGGAAGACGAACUACUGCGAAAGCAUUUACCAAGGAUGUUUUCAUUAA
rnacentral:rRNA from 1 species